rnacentral:lncRNA from 1 species
GAGGUAAUCGAUCGGGCUCCUAGAAGAGACCCGAAACUCAUUUAGCAGCUUUUACAAUUCUGGGUUGAGGGUUGUGGUGCUUGCUGGGUUGAAGGUUAGCAAGCAGACGACAUACAGGGACGACUGACGACAUGUUUCCUUGCUGAUUUCCUCCAAUGACAUGGCUUGAAUCGGUGGGGCGUCGAGGCCGUGCAGGUGCCACGUCUAGUUGUGCCAUUGAAAGGUCAUGGUGAGAUUCUUUAAAUCGCAUAUUACAGUGCCGAGGUCUUCCAGCCAUUAGACGCCCAAAACAACAUCCAAUCCCAUUAGUGGUAAUGAAAAGAGUGUGAAUGAAAAU